rnacentral:rRNA from 1 species
GAUGAACGCUGGCGGCGUGCCUAAUACAUGCAAGUCGAGCGAACGGACGAGAAGCUUGCUUCUCUGAUGUUAGCGGCGGACGGGUGAGUAACACGUGGAUAACCUACCUAUAAGACUGGGAUAACUUCGGGAAACCGUAGCUAAUACCGGAUAAUAUUUUGAACCGCAUGGUUCAAAAGUGAAAGACGGUCUUGCUGUCACUUAUAGAUGGAUCCGCGCUGCAUUAGCUAGUUGGUAAGGUAACGGCUUACCAAGGCAACGAUGCAUAGCCGACCGGAGAGGUUGAUCGCCCACACUGGAACUGAGACACGGUCCAGCCUCCUACGGGAGGCAGCGGUGGGGAAUCUUGCGAAAUGGGCGAAAGCCUGACGGAGCAACGCCGCGUGAGUGAUGAAGGUCUUCGGAUCGUAAAACUCUGUUAUUGGGGAAGAACAUAUGUGUAAGUAACUGUGCACAUCUUGACGGUACCUAAUCAGAAAGCCACGCCUAACUACGU